rnacentral:rRNA from 1 species
CACAUCGACGGGGAGGUUUGGCACCUCGAUGUCGGCUCAUCGCAUCCUGGGGCUGGAGCAGGUCCCAAGGGUAUGGCUGUUCGCCAUUUAAAGAGGUACGUGAGCUGGGUUCAAAACGUCGUGAGACAGUUUGGUCCCUAUCUGCUGUGGGCGUUGGAAGUUUGAGGGAGCCUGUUCCUAGUACGAGAGGACCGGAAUGGACGCACCUCUGGUGUACCUGUUGUCACGCCAGUGGCAUUGCAGGGUAGCUAAGUGCGGAAGAGAUAACCGCUGAAGGCAUCUAAGCGGGAAGCCCCCCUCAAAACAAGGUAUCCCUGAGGGCCGUGGAAGACCACCACGUCGAUAGGCCGGAGAUGUAAGCGCAGUAAUGCGUUCAGUUGACCGGUACUAAUGGCCCGAUAGGCUUGAU